rnacentral:rRNA from 1 species
UACAGAGGCCCCAAGCGUUACUGAGAAUCACUGGGUUUAAAGGGUGCGUAGGCGGCCUGCUAAGUCGAACGUGAAAUCCCUGGGCUCAACCCAGGAACUGCGUCCGAUACUGGUUGGCUUGAAUCCGGGAGAGGGAUGUGGAAUUCCAGGUGUAGCGGUGAAAUGCGUAGAUAUCUGGAGGAAUACCGAUGGCGAAGGCAGGUCUCUGGGCUGACACUGACGCUCAUGCACGAAAGCGUGGGGAGCAAACAGG